UUUAAAAGCUCCCACCAUCCCUUCACAAGCAAUUUUACUGCUUUGGCAGCUGGGCUUGGAGGCUCUGGGGUGAAAACCUCUCUUCCACAGUGAUGAAGGUGGCAACCUCCUAAUCCUAGAGAGCAAAUGUCGGGAAAGGGAGGGGAAAAAUCCCAAAGGGCACACAGAUGGUCAAAAACUGAUGGAGAGCACAACUGCCUGGCAGUGAGCCUGUGUGUGUUAAUCUGAAAACAAUUGUCCUACAGAUGCACAGUUCUUCUGAUAAACCAAGUUCCAGCAGCUAAUGACAAGCUGGGAGCUGUUUAACCACAGAGCAGACAAAACAGAUUUUUCCACUACGGCUUCUGAUGGAAUUUUUUAAAAAUAAUGAGUUGAGGUCUGUGUUUGUUUGGUUCGGUUUGGGGUGGGUUUUUUUGUCUUUUUUAAAAAAAGCCUCCUUUCAUUUGCAUUUAAAAACUGGUUUUGUGUGUCCUACCCCUUCCAUCUCCGACCUUCCUGUGCAGCAGCUGCCGAGAAGUCCAGCUCCGUGUCCGGAUGCUGUUCAAGUUUGCUGUGCCAGCAGUGAGCAGUUUUUAACAGCCUGGGUAGUCAAUGCUUUUUCUGUCUGGUCCUCUGUUGCUGGCAGUGCCCGUGGUGCUGUAAUCAAGCCUGUUCACAGAGCCAGGCUGGGCUGGGUGCAGGGAUGGAUGAUCCACAUGGGAAGCAGCUCCAGCCCUGAGCUGCCGACUGACCCAGCCCUCCAAAGUGCUGUGGCCUGAGAGAAAAUGUCAUGGGAGUCUGUACCUUGAACUCUUGCCACCCUUAAUUAACCACAUAAGGUCUCUCUUACACAGUGCUCUUCAUCAGCUCAUUUGUCUUGUUCUCUUCGUUUGGCAGAUGGAGAAGGUAAAACUCAGAGGACCAUCAUUUCUCAUCCCUGGAGCCCAUCUGCACAAGCCAAAAUAAACCAAAUUUCCCCCAAAUGCCAGGCCAGCGCACUAACCACAAGCUUGCUGGCAUCCUUCACUUGCCACAGCCCUGCCUGCCUCUUCUUCGUGGGAAGGAUGCUGUGUUGGGAAAGAAAUCCCCAAGGAAGUUCUUUGCCUGGAUGGUUGGUUGAACCUCCCCAGCGUGGCAGAGACGCCCCAGCUACAAGGAACCACCUCAGCACACAAAGGAAACAACAAUCUGGGCUGGAGGAAGUCACUGAAAACCUGAGUGAACCUCGAGUGCAUCGGGAAAUGGGUCUGAUGCUUUGGCUCAGUCUGACCUGGAAACCUGCUCCUGGUGUGUCAUAACCACAGGCUUGACAAGUGGAAGCAAAAUGAGCAGUUCAAGUGACAAGAGCAAGAUCACCUUGCAGGUGAGGGGCAGAGAUGGAAAUAUAUCCCUGUCUUCUGUCCUGCCUCUCUGCUGAGCCCUUUCUCUCUUUAAUCACAUCAUCACAAAGGUUGUCUCCGUGGCAAGGCCAGAAUCAGCCUCGCUGCUGAUUGCAGGGAGAUGUCACCAGCUCCCAGGACCAGGAGACGCUUUCAGCAGCUGUAAAUCAGCACAACAACACUUUCCCUUCCCCAGAACUCUGCUGAUUUAUGUUGGCCUCGCAGAGGUCCCUGGUAGACAUGUGCUGGUGGAUUAAAAUCAGCCUGUCGGGUGUCCCUGUCCUGCUGAUGGAUGUGACACCCCGAGGCAGGGACGUGUCAUCUGCAGCAGCUCAGGAGCUGCAGCACGAGGGGCUGGGGUGGGUUUGGUGAGUGGCAGUGCUGGCACAGGGACACGUUUGGGUCCCCUGGCAGCUCCAGGUGCCCAAUUUUAACCUGUCACCACGUGCUGGUGAGAACCCAAGUCAUGCUGGGCAGCCUUUAACCUCUCAAAACUCUGGUGGGCUGAAGAAACUGGUGCUGGGAGACCACCCUGGGAUGCUCUUCCCAGUGCAGGCAGGAGCACUGGGAGUGCUGGGCUUUUCCUCUGGCAGAGGAAUACAUGGAGUUGAACUGGAAUCCCAGCACACAGAAGCCAUGGGUCCAUCAGGGAAUGAGAAGGAAAUGCCCUCUCAGGGGGAGAAGGCAGCGUGGUUUGGAUUUGAUCGUGGGCACAAACUGAGGGAUCUGUUCUCCAGGAAUGUGUCUCAUGCACUGCCCCUUCUUCCCUCUUCCUCUGCAGACCCUGACCCACUCGUCUGUGAAGAGGUUGAGGUGUUGGAUCAGGGCCUUGAGAACAGCAGUCUUAGGGAUCAGGUUGUCAGCACAUGGAUGGAAGAUCCUGGGAACAGGAUGUCAGAUUUAAAUGAAUUGAAUUCCAGAGUCUCUGUGGAAGCAAGUGACCUUUCCUGCUCAGGGCACAGAGAGGUGCUGUGAGUGACACAGAAGCCGAGGAAGGUUUAGGAAGGAGCAUUUAUUGAAGCUGCAAGGGGCAGCCUGAUACUGCAAAGGAUGUUUAUUUUCCCAGAUCAAGUUGAAAGCUCACAGCAACUUCCCGCAGUUUAUGGAAUUAAAUACUUGGACCGGGCUCAGAAACACCAGACUGAGAAGAAACAUUCAGCAGAGGUCAGCCCCAACUAUUUACAAGGGGCAUACACGUGACACAGUAAAACUUGCACUGAAAUAAACCCCCCAGCCCCUCUCCCACAAGGUCCCAUUUUGAUGCUGAACUGCUUUGAAAUUGUUCUGCCGAAAACUUUCUCGACACCAAUGUGCUCCAGCAAAAAGUUUCCAUCAGGCUGAAACUGCAUUUCCCUUUGGAAACCUCUUUGGUUCAAGUAUUUCCUCGUCUCUGCUGAUGCUUCCUGGGUUCGUGCCCUGCUCCAGGAUUGUUCUCUCUGUGACCAGCAUGUGACAAGGCUUAAAUAAGGAAUGAUUUGUGACGUGCCUUGAUACCCUCUGAUAAAAGAUGCCCAGAGCACUGAGCGUUACAGGACUGUGAUUUCUCUCCCCGUUUCUUCAGAAUGCAUUAAAUGUGUGGGUGCUCCAGUUAUUUCCUCUAACAGUUGAUAUUUUAACCUGCUGUAUUUUUAUCUUGGCUGCAUUAUAUAACAAGUUAUGCUGGUGUCAAUCUGGAAGCUCCAGCACCAUCAGUAAAGCUAAUCCAGUUUAACACAAGCCUUAGAGGAGGGUUGAAUUCCUCGUGAUAAAAAGCAGAAUUAACCCAAAUAAAUGACUA